rnacentral:lncRNA from 1 species
CAUUGUUCUGCAAUACUCUGCCACCUGGUGUUUCAGGUUUAGGGUCAUCGUCAAAACGUCGACGAGAUUCAUGCGAAUGACUUGUUCUGGCUUGCAAUUUAGUCAAUUUGAAAUUAAUAUCAGCCGAAAGUUUAAGUCAGGGAAAGUUAUUUAUUUGAAUAAAUUGUUAAAGAAAUCAGGAUAGGGCUCAAAUCUUGCUGAAUCAACUACGGAUUUCUUCUGGGGCAAGGCCAUGUUGCUGAAAUCCAGAUCCGAAAGGCAUUUUUCUUUUCUUUAAGACAGAAAUCACAAGCUUCCCUAACAAACAGAUUUACUUUACAUGCAUUUAUUUAGGAUUAAAUGCUUUUAUGAAUGAAAGUUUGCAAAAGGCGCUGAGAGGUAUUUUAAAAUAAGAUGUUGACUUGCAGACCAAGCACAUUGCAUAUUCUUCAAUCCAACUAUAAUGAACAUGAUAGCACAGAUUGGCAAAAUGGCAUUCAAGUGCCUUCAAACAGUACUUACCGCUUGGAAGUGAAGAGCUGGAAACCUCAAUGCUGAUCUUAUCUUAUCAGAAAAUACUCAAAGGCAUUGUUUCUGAUUACCAAAACCAUCUUCAGGAUACUGUAAUCUUUUCACACAUGGAACAUGGAAUCCAAUUUUGCUAUUCUGAUAUGUUAUGGAUACAUCAAUCAUGGAAAAUGUUUGAUGUAAUUAACUUCUCAAACUUUAAAGAGGAAAUUACCAACUUACAGCUUGCAAUAGAAAAUGCUGUGGAAAAUGAGAAGCCUUACUCUUCACUGACAUUGAGCUAGGUCAUCUUUCUACUGAAAGCUAUGUCUAAGAGUGACUUUGUUUUACCUUGAGCAGCAUUCGACGAUCUACGAACCUCUGAACCUCUGAGAGAAGUUUUUUGCUGGCAAAAAGCACCGCCAUUUCAAAGCACUGUGAUAAAUCAAUCCUACGUUACGUUAGAUGGUUGGCUUCAGGAUUUGGAGAGAGCUUCUACAAUGAAGAUGGACUUGAUUUUCUUGUUGACCAAUUGCACGUAUUUAGCUAUGGUGUCAAGUUCCGCCCAGAUCAACAAACACUGGAAGCUUGAAAGAUUGGUCAGACGAUUCUACAGGAUCCAUUCCACUUGAGAUUGUACGAUGUGAAAGCUAGCAUGAGAGAAAUCGAGUAGUUUCCAUUUCGUCAAUCAUUUUUCAGCUUGAAGUGAUGAACACAGGCCUUGGGUACCAGGAAACUUUCCUCUAUUCUAACCUAGAUUGCAACUCUACAAGCAACUCUAUACUAACUCAACAAAACUAGUAAUUGACCAAAAAUUUCACCAAGCACAACAACUCCACCAAUUUGGAUUUUAAAAUUUAUUGGUGUCGAGCAUUCGUUCGAUAAUAGUCGUGUACAAAAGAGAAAUGGGCUUAUUCACGUCACAACAAUAAGUACUUAAAACUUUUUGUUAUU